UGAGGAAUAUUGGGCAAUGCCCGCAAGGGUGACCCAGCAACGCCGCGUGGAGGAUGAAUGUCGUAAGAUUGUAAACUCCUGUUAGAGGGGAAGAAUAGUACCGGUUGGACCGGUACAUGACUGUACCCUCAGAGAAAGCCCCGGCUAACUACGUGCCAGCAGCCGCGGUAAUACGUCGGGGGCAAGCGUUGUCCGGAUUUACUGGGUGUAAAGGGCGCGCAGGCGGGAUAAAAAGUCAGUGGUGAAAUCCUACAGCUUAACUGUAGAACUGCCUUUGAUACUUUUAUUCUUGAGUUCGGGAGAGAGAGACGGAAUUCCAGGUGUAGUGGUGAAAUACGUAGAUAUCUGGAAGAACACCAGUUGCGAAGGCGGUCUCUUGGUCCGACACUGACGCUGAGGCGCGAAAGCGUGGGGAGCAAACA
rnacentral:rRNA from 1 species